rnacentral:rRNA from 1 species
UGAGGAAUAUUGGUCAAUGGGCGCAAGCCUGAACCAGCCAAGUAGCGUGAGGGAAGACUGCCCUACGGGUCGUAAACCUCUUUUGUUUGGGAAUAAAGUGCGGGACGUGUCCCGCAUUGCAUGUACCAUUUGAAUAAGGACCGGCUAAUUCCGUGCCAGCAGCCGCGGUAAUACGGAAGGUCCGGGCGUUAUCCGGAUUUAUUGGGUUUAAAGGGAGCGCAGGCCGUGGGUUAAGCGUGUCGUGAAAUUCCGUCGCUCAACGGCGGACGUGCGGCGCGAACUGGUCCACUUGAGUACGCGGGACGUUGGCGGAAUUCGUGGUGUAGCGGUGAAAUGCGUAGAUAUUCGGAGGAACACCAGUGGCGAAGGCGGCUUGCUGGGCUCUAACUGACGCUGAGGCUCGAAAGUGUGGGGAGCAAACAGGAUUAGAUACCCUGGUAGU